GGAAUCUUCCACAAUGGGCGGAAGCCUGAUGGAGCAACGCCGCGUGUGUGAUGAAGGGUUUCGGCUCGUAAAACACUGUUGUAAGAGAAGAAUGACAUUGAGAGUAACUGUUCAAUGUGUGACGGUAUCUUACCAGAAAGGAACGGCUAAAUACGUGCCAG
rnacentral:rRNA from 1 species